UACGUAGGCAGCAAGCGUUGUUCGGAGUUACUGGGCGUAAAGGGUGUGUAGGCGGUUGCUUAAGUUUGGGGUGAAAUCUCCCGGCUCAACUGGGAGGGUGCGCCGAAUACUGAGUGACUUCGAGUGCGGGAGAAGAAAGUGGAAUUCCUGGUGUAGCGGUGAAAUGCGUAGAUAUCAGGAGGAACACCGGUGGUGUAGACGGCUUUCUGGACCGUAACUGACGCUGAGACACGAAAGCGUGGGUAGCAAACAGG
rnacentral:rRNA from 1 species